rnacentral:rRNA from 1 species
AGGCCGAUGGCGACCGGCGCACGGGUGAGUAACACGUAUCCAACCUGCCGUCUACUCUUGGACAGCCUUCUGAAAGGAAGAUUAAUACAAGAUGGCAUCAUGAGUCCGCAUGUUCAUAUGAUUAAAGGUAUUCCGGUAGACGAUGGGGAUGCGUUCCAUUAGAUAGUAGGCGGGGUAACGGCCCACCUAGUCUUCGAUGGAUAGGGGUUCUGAGAGGAAGGUCCCCCACAUUGGAACUGAGACACGGUCCAAACUCCUACGGGAGGCAGCAGUGAGGAAUAUUGGUCAAUGGGCGAGAGCCUGAACCAGCCAAGUAGCGUGAAGGAUGACUGCCCUAUGGGUUGUAAACUUCUUUUAUAAAGGAAUAAAGUCGGGUAUGCAUACCCGUUUGCAUGUACUUUAUGAAUAAGGAUCGGCUAACUCCGUGCCAGCAGCCGCGGUAAUACGGAGGAUCCGAGCGUUGUCCGGAUUUAUUGGGUUUAAAGGGAGCGUAGAUGGAUGUUUAAGUCAGUUGUGAAAGUUUGCGGCUCAACCGUAAAAUUGCAGUUGAUACUGGAUAUCUUGAGUGCAGUUGAGGCAGGCGGAAUUCGUGGUGUAGCGGUGAAAUGCUUAGAUAUCACGAAG